ACUUCCUUCGGGGAGUGGAUUAGCGGCGGACGGGUGAGUAACACGUGGGUAACCUGCCUCAAAGAGGGGGAUAGCCUUCCGAAAGGGAGAUUAAUACCGCAUAACAUUAUUUUAUGGCAUCAUAGAAUAAUCAAAGGAGCACUCCGCUUUGAGAUGGACCCGCGGCGCAUUAGCUAGUUGGUGAGGUAAGGGCUCACCAAGGCGACGAUGCGUAGCCGACCUGAGAGGGUGAUCGGCCACAUUGGAACUGAGACACGGUCCAGACUCCUACGGGAGGCAGCAGUGGGGAAUAUUGCGCAAUGGGGGAAACCCUGACGCAGCAACGCCGCGUGAGUGAUGAAGGUUUUCGGAUCGUAAAACUCUGUCUUUAGGGACGAUAAUGACGGUACCUAAGGAGGAAGCCACGGCUAACUACGUGCCAGCAGCCGCGGUAAUACGUAGGUGGCAAGCGUUGUCCGGAUUUACUGGGCGUAAAGAGUAUGUAGGUGGGUGCUUAAGUCAGAUGUGAAAUUCCCGGGCUUAACCUGGGCGCUGCAUUUGAAACUGGGC
rnacentral:rRNA from 1 species